rnacentral:lncRNA from 1 species
CUAUUGAUGAGAAUUUUCAAUAACGGGAACGGUAUCUCAUUCUUGGUAACCUGUUAGCUUACGGGGGCUUCGCCACGUUGAACCAACUACACAGGCAAAAUUUGCUCACAUGAAUUUCACAUGAAUCUUACAUGAAAUUCACAUGAAAAAUUUCACGUGAGAUUCACCUCAAUCGAGCUUAUACAUGAAACUCACGUGGAAAUUUUCAUGUGAAUUUCA